CCGAAGUGGUGGGACCAGGAGUGCCAGCGAGGACAGAGGGACACUGAAUUCUUCAAAGAAAAAAUAGAUUGGGUCACAUAUGCCCAGAGGUCACUUCUAAUGUUAAAUGUGUUAGGACUAUGAAGAAGAUGCAAUCUUGGAUUUAAUGUUAUGUGCAAAUAAUUCACACUAGGUUAUAUUUUGGGUACGAUGAGAACAGAUCCGACAACGCAGAAUGAGGGAUCAGUCAGUAAAAACAAGAACUUUUGCAACAACGUCCUUACAAGAGAGGAGAGAAUUAUCACCACAAAAUCAAAGAUGUUCCAUGCAACUGUGAAGAAAUAACAACGGAGGGCAAAGAUCUUGAUCAGGCAUU